GACGAACGCUGGCGGCGCGCUUAACACAUGCAAGUCGAGCGAUCGGCCAGGGGCUUGCCCCUGGUACGGAGCGGCGAACGGGUGAGUAACACGUGGGUGACCUGCCCUCGGUUCUGGGAUAACUCCGGGAAACCGGUGCUAAUACCAGAUGGCCUCCGCAGCUUUCGGGCAGCGGAGAAAAGGUAGCUUCGGCCUCCGACCGAGGAUGGGCCCGCGGCGGAUUAGCUUGUUGGUGGGGUAAAGGCCCACCAAGGCGACGAUCCGUAGCUGGUGUGAGAGCAUGACCAGCCACACUGGGACUGAGACACGGCCCAGACUCCUACGGGAGGCAGCAGUGGGGAAUCUUGCGCAAUGGGCGAAAGCCUGACGCAGCGACGCCGCGUGCGGGAAGAAGGCCUUCGGGUUGUAAACCGCUUUCAGCACAGACGAAGCGCAAGUGACGGUAUGAGCAGAAGAAGGACCGGCCAACUACGUGCCAGCCGCCGCCGUAACAC
rnacentral:rRNA from 1 species